rnacentral:rRNA from 1 species
AGAGUUUGAUCCUGGCUCAGAUUGAACGCUGGCGGCAGGCUUAACACAUGCAAGUCGAACGGUAACAGAAAGUAGCUUGCUACUUUGCUGACGAGUGGCGGACGGGUGAGUAAUGCUUGGGAAUAUGCCUUAUGGUGGGGGACAACAGUUGGAAACGACUGCUAAUACCGCAUAACAUCUCCGGAUCAAAGUGGGGGACCUUCGGGCCUCACGCCAUAAGAGUAGCCCAAGUGGGAUUAGCUAGUUGGUAAGGUAAUGGCUUACCAAGGCGACGAUCCCUAGUUGGUCUUAGAGGAUGACCAGCCACACUGGAACUGAGACACGGUCCAGACUCCUACGGGAGGCAGCAGUGGGGAAUAUUGCACAAUGGGCGCAAGCCUGAUGCAGCCAUGCCGCGUGUGUGAAGAAGGCUUUCGGGUUGUAAAGCACUUUCAGCGAGGAGGAAAGGGUAUUGCUUAAUAGGUAAUAUCUGUGACGUUACUCGCAGAAGAAGCACCGGCUAACUCCGUGCCAGCAGCCGCGGUAAUACGGAGGGUGCGAGCGUUAAUCGGAAUUACUGGGCGUAAAGCGCGCGUAGGUGGUUAAUUAAGUCAGAUGUGAAAUCCCAGGGCUCAACCUUGGAACUGCAUUUGAAACUGGUUAACUAGAGUUUUGUAGAGGGUGGUAGAAUUUCAGGUGUAGCGGUGAAAUGCGUAGAGAUCUGAAGGAAUACCAGUGGCGAAGGCGGCCACCUGGACAAAGACUGACACUGAGGCGCGAAGGCGUGGGGAGCAAACGGGAUUAGAUACCCCGGUAGUCCAA